AGAGUUUGAUCCUGGCUCAGGAUGAACGCUGGCGGCGUGCUUAACACAUGCAAGUCGAACGAUGACUUUUGUGCUUGCACAGAAUGAUUAGUGGCGAACGGGUGAGUAACACGUGAGUAACCUGCCCCUGACUUCGGGAUAAGCCUGGGAAACCGGGUCUAAUACCGGAUACAACGGACCACCGCAUGGCGGUCCGUGGAAAGCUUUAUGCGGUUUUGGAUGGACUCGCGGCCUAUCAGCUAGUUGGUUGGGGUAAUGGCCCACCAAGGCGACGACGGGUAGCCGGCCUGAGAGGGUGAUCGGCCACACUAGGACUGAGACACGGCCCAGACUCCUACGGGAGGCAGCAGUAGGGAAUCUUCCGCAACGGACGAAAGUCUGACGGAGCAACGCCGCGUGAGCGAAGAAGGCCUUCGGGUCGUAAAGCUCUGUUGUCAGGGAAGAACAAGUGCCAUUCGAAUAGGUUGGCACCUUGACGGUACCUGGCCAGAAAGCCACGGCUAACUACGUGCCAGCAGCCGCGGUAAUACGUAGGUGGCAAGCGUUGUCCGGAAUUAUUGGGCGUAAAGCGCGCGCAGGCGGUCCUUUAAGUCUGAUGUGAAAGCCCACGGCUCAACCGUGGAGGGUCAUUGGAAACUGGAGGACUUGAGUGCAGAAGAGAAGAGUGGAAUUCCACGUGUAGCGGUGAAAUGCGUAGAGAUGUGGAGGAACACCAGUGGCGAAGGCGACUCUUUGGUCUGUAACUGACGCUGAGGCGCGAAAGCGUGGGGAGCAAACAGGAUUAGAUACCCUGGUAGUCCAUGCCGUAAACGUUGGGCACUAGGUGUGGGGGACAUUCCACGUUUUCCGCGCCGUAGCUAACGCAUUAAGUGCCCCGCCUGGGGAGUACGGCCGCAAGGCUAAAACUCAAAGGAAUUGACGGGGGCCCGCACAAGCGGCGGAGCAUGCGGAUUAAUUCGAUGCAACGCGAAGAACCUUACCAAGGCUUGACAUGAACCGGAAAGGCAUGGAAACAGGUCCCCCACUUGUGGCCGGUUUACAGGUGGUGCAUGGUUGUCGUCAGCUCGUGUCGUGAGAUGUUGGGUUAAGUCCCGCAACGAGCGCAACCCUCGUUCUAUGUUGCCAGCGGGUUAUGCCGGGGACUCAUAGGAGACUGCCGGGGUCAACUCGGAGGAAGGUGGGGACGACGUCAAAUCAUCAUGCCCCUUAUGUCUUGGGCUUCACGCAUGCUACAAUGGCCGGUACAAAGGGUUGCGAUACUGUGAGGUGGAGCUAAUCCCAAAAAGCCGGUCUCAGUUCGGAUUGAGGUCUGCAACUCGACCUCAUGAAGUUGGAGUCGCUAGUAAUCGCAGAUCAGCAACGCUGCGGUGAAUACGUUCCCGGGCCUUGCACUCACCGCCCGUCA
rnacentral:rRNA from 1 species